rnacentral:misc_RNA from 1 species
GAUGAAGAACGUAGCGAAAUGCGAUAAGUAAUGUGAAUUGCAGAAUUCAGUGAAUCAUCGAAUCUUUGAACGCACAUUGCGCCCUCUGGUAUUCCGGAGGGCAUGCCUGUUCGAGCGUCAUUUGUACCUUCAAGCUUUGCUUGGUGUUGGGUGUUUGUCUCGCCUUUGCGUGUAGACUCGCCUUAAAAUAAUUGGCAGCCGGCGUAUUGAUUUCGGAGCGCAGUACAUCUCGCGCUUUGCACUCAUAACGACAGCGUCCAAAAGUACAUUUUACACUCUUGACCUCGGAUCAGGUAGGGAUACCCGCUGAACUUAAGCAUAUCAAUAAGCGGAGGA